AGAGUUUGAUUAUGGCUCAGGACGAACGCUGGCGGCGUGCUUAACACAUGCAAGUCGAGCGGAAAGGCCCUUCGGGGUACUCGAGCGGCGAACGGGUGAGUAACACGUGAGCAACCUGCCCCAGGCUUUGGGAUAACCCCGGGAAACCGGGGCUAAUACCGAAUAUGACCUCUGACCGCAUGGUUGGUGGUGGAAAGUUUUUCGGCUUGGGAUGGGCUCGCGGCCUAUCAGCUUGUUGGUGGGGUGAUGGCCUACCAAGGCGACGACGGGUAGCCGGCCUGAGAGGGCGACCGGCCACACUGGGACUGAGACACGGCCCAGACUCCUACGGGAGGCAGCAGUGGGGAAUAUUGCACAAUGGGCGGAAGCCUGAUGCAGCGACGCCGCGUGAGGGAUGACGGCCUUCGGGUUGUAAACCUCUUUCAGCGGGGACGAAGCGUAAGUGACGGUACCUGCAGAAGAAGCGCCGGCCAACUACGUGCCAGCAGCCGCGGUAAGACGUAGGGCGCGAGCGUUGUCCGGAUUUAUUGGGCGUAAAGAGCUCGUAGGCGGCUUGUCGCGUCGACCGUGAAAACUUGGGGCUCAACCCCAAGCCUGCGGUCGAUACGGGCAGGCUAGAGUUCGGUAGGGGAGACUGGAAUUCCUGGUGUAGCGGUGAAAUGCGCAGAUAUCAGGAGGAACACCGGUGGCGAAGGCGGGUCUCUGGGCCGAUACUGACGCUGAGGAGCGAAAGCGUGGGGAGCGAACAGGAUUAGAUACCCUGGUAGUCCACGCCCUAAACGAUGUCAACUAGUUGUCGGGCCUAAUUGAGGGUUUGGUAACGUAGCUAACGCGUGAAGUUGACCGCCUGGGGAGUACGAUCGCAAGAUUAAAACUCAAUGAAUUGACGGG
rnacentral:rRNA from 1 species